CAAAAAAUAAUUUAUUUUAAAAUAUUAACUUUGGAAGUUAAAUAAAUAAUUUUAUAAUUAUUUUUUUGA
rnacentral:tRNA from 2 species